rnacentral:rRNA from 1 species
CCUACGGGAGGCAGCAGUAGGGAAUCUUCCACAAUGGGCGAAAGCCUGAUGGAGCAACGCCGCGUGGGUGAAGAAGGUCUUCGGAUCGUAAAACCCUGUUGUUAGAGAAGAAAGUGCGUGAGAGUAACUGUUCACGUUUCGACGGUAUCUACCCAGAAAGCCCCGGCUAACUACGUGCCAGCAGCCGCGGUAAUACGUAGGUGGCAAGCGUUAUCCGGAUUUAUUGGGCGUAAAGGGAACGCAGGCGGUCUUUUAAGUCUGAUGUGAAAGCCUUCGGCUUAACCGGGGUAGUGCAUUGGAAACUGGGAGACUUGAGUGCAGAAGAGGAGAGUGGAACUCCAUGUGUAGCGGUGAAAUGCGUAGAGAUAUGGAAGAACACCAGUGGCGAAGGCGACUCUCUGGACUGUAACUGACGCUGAGGUUCGAAAGCGUGGGUAGCAAACAGGAUUAGAUACCCUAGUAGUC